UCAGCUUUGGUUCAGUGGGUAGCACAUCAGUCUUGCAAGCUGAAGGUCCUGAGUUCAAUCCUUGGAAGGAGGG
rfam:Monodelphis domestica chromosome 8, whole genome shotgun sequence.